rnacentral:lncRNA from 1 species
AGUCUUCUAGCCUUCGCUGAUGGGUUCUGCAUAUGAGUUCAGGCAUGCCUUCAGGACUCCACCAGGCACUUGGUAAUUCUGCCUUAUCCUUCACUUUUUGCUUGAGCAGCGCCGAAAGGUGAGCCAGAGGAGGGAAAUUUGGACAUGGACACAUAGGGAAGACAGCCAUGUGGAGACAGAGGCAGAGGUGGACCUGCUGCCGCAAAACCACAGGGCGCCAAGUACUGUGGGCCACUGAGAAAACUAAAGGAGAGGAAGGAUUCUUCCCUGGAGCUUUGGAGAGGGUGCGGCCCUACUUUCACCUGGAUUUCAGACUUCA